rnacentral:rRNA from 1 species
CUUUUGUAUAAUGGGUCAGCGACUUAUAUUCUGUAGCAAGGUUAACCGAAUAGGGGAGCCGAAGGGAAACCGAGUCUUAACUGGGCGUUAAGUUGCAGGGUAUAGACCCGAAACCCGGUGAUCUAGCCAUGGGCAGGUUGAAGGUUGGGUAACACUAACUGGAGGACCGAACCGACUAAUGUUGAAAAAUUAGCGGAUGACUUGUGGCUGGGGGUGAAAGGCCAAUCAAACCGGGAGAUAGCUGGUUCUCCCCGAAAGCUAUUUAGGUAGCGCCUCGUGAAUUCAUCUCCGGGGGUAGAGCACUGUUUCGGCAAGGGGGUCAUCCCGACUUACCAACCCGAUGCAAACUGCGAAUACCGGAGAAUGUUAUCACGGGAGACACACGGCGGGUGCUAACGUCCGUCGUGAAGAGGGAAACAACCCAGACCGCCAGCUAAGGUCCCAAAGUCAUGGUUAAGUGGGAAACGAUGUGGGAAGGCCCAGACAGCCAGGAUGUUGGCUUAGAAGCAGCCAUCAUUUAAAGAAAGCGUAAUAGCUCACUGGUCGAGUCGGCCUGCGCGGAAGAUGUAACGGGGCUAAACCAUGCACCGAAGCUGCGGCAGCGACACUGUGUGUUGUUGGGUAGGGGAGCGUUCUGUAAGCCUGUGAAGGUGUACUGUGAGG